rnacentral:rRNA from 1 species
GACGAACGCUGGCGGCGUGCCUAAUACAUGCAAGUUGAGCGCUGAAGGUUGGUCCUUGUACCAACUGGAUGAGCAGCGAACGGGUGAGUAACGCGUGGGUAAUCUGCCUUUGAGCGGGGGACAACAUUUGGAAACGAAUGCUAAUACCGCAUAAAAACUUUAAACACAAGUUUUAAGUUUGAAAGAUGCAAUUGCAUCACUCAAAGAUGAUCCCGCGUUGUAUUAGCUAGUUGGUGAGGUAAAGGCUCACCAAGGCGAUGAUACAUAGCCGACCUGAGAGGGUGAUCGGCCACAUUGGGACUGAGACACGGCCCAAAAGCCUACGGGAGGCAGCAGUAGGGAAUCUUAGGCAAGGGACGAAAGUCUGACCGAGCAACGCCGCGGGAGUGAAGAAGGUUGUCGGAUCGUAAAACUCUGUUGGUAGAGAAGAACGUUGGUGAGAGUGGAAAGCUCAUCAAGUGACGGUAACUACCCAGAAAGGGACGGCUAACUACGUG